rnacentral:snRNA from 1 species
GAGUGUUAGAACUCUUAGAAUUUGUCUAGCAGGUUUUCUGGUUUCCUCCACGCAAAAAAAUAAAGCAACCUGC